GGACUACUGGGGUUUCUAAUCCCUUUUGCUCCCCACGCUUUCGAGCCUGAGCGUCAGAUCUUGUCCAGUAAGCUGCCUUCGCCGUUGGUGUUCCUCUUGAUAUCUACGCAUUUCACUGCUCCACCAAGAAUUCCGCUUACCCCUCCAAGUCUCUAGACUCGUAGUUUCGAACGCAGCACCGGGGUUAAGCCCCGGUAUUUCACGUCCGACACACGAGUCCGCCUGCGCUCCCUUUACGCCCAGUGAAUCCGAGUAACGCUUGCAGUCUCUGUAUUACCGCGGCUGCUGGCAC
rnacentral:misc_RNA from 1 species